AGAUCCCGCGCGGGAGAGAGGGGCGGCGACGCCCCCGCCGAAGGCGCAACCGGCCCCCGGAAACGCUCAGGCAAAAGGGCCGCGCGGGGAAG
rnacentral:ncRNA from 1 species